UAGCCUCCUAAACCAGAAGACCCAUAUCCACCAUAUGAUUGUGAAGAUAAAGAAGAUGAAGUAUAGGAUGAACCUGAAGCAGCCAACUGGGAGUACGAUGACCUCAACCCUGCUGUGUCUAGCCUGCCAUAGCUGCUGCUUGUAACUGCUUCCUUCGGGGCACUUACUGCUUCCUGAAUUAAUUGUUGAGCCAUCUGAACUUGUGAUGAAGUGCCUUUUAUUUCCACAGUGAUCUCAUCGGGUAAUCCCCUGCUCUCUUGUAUGGUUAAGAUGGCACCACUAUUGCGACGGAUGAAUGCAAUAUUUG
rnacentral:misc_RNA from 1 species